GCGUUGGUGGUCCAAGGAAAGACGCCCCACUUCCCGUGGGGAAAUGCAGGUGCAAGGCCUGCCCAGCGC
rnacentral:tRNA from 1 species